GUCGAUUUAAGUAAUAAUAUAAAAUAUACAAAUUAUAAAAAAAUAAUUACUAAAUUAUGAUUAAAAAUGUUUUAAUUAAAAAAUUAUUUUUAACAUAAUAACAAUAGGUUCUAUAUUGUAGGAUAGUUUUGAAGUAAAUCGAUGAAGGCGGGAUACAACGUACUACACUAUUGAAUUGAAAUACAAUCAUUUCUUCCAACAAAUAUUUUUUGUUAUAUAUUAUUUCAUGACUUUUGUUUGGAUCAUAUGAAAUGUAUUUAAUAUUAUAUAGAUCUUAUUUUGCAUACUUGAAAAAGCCAGAUGUGCCAUACUUAACAAAUAUUCAUGUAAAUAAUUGCUGUAUCGAAUAUAGUUUAUAGUUCUUCUAUAGCCUGUUAGAUUUUAGUUUCGAUAUGAAUUUCUUGAUAGUUGGGACAAUACAUUUGGGUUAAUAUCUACUAUGGAUGGCAAUAUUUUGCGCUCCAUUUCAUUGCUAAUUGGCAAUUAGCAAUUGCUAAUACUAAUCCCCUCAAACAUCUGUAUUUCUUGUGAUAAGGAUUAGAUAUUAAAUAAGUAACCAUCGCCACAUUAUUGUCAUUAUAGUGCAAUGUCACAUAUGUAGAUUUCUAGGGCUUUCCGCAUUUCAUUUGGGUAACAAAUUUCACCACAUACAUUUUAUUAAUUUAAUAAUUUGCUUUUAUUCCUUACCAAUUAUUUAAAAUAAAUAACAGUUAAUUUAAGAUUUUGAAUCUAUAACCUCAAUAUGUAAUUAGGAUUAUUAUGUAGAUGAAAUACCAUAAAAAAAGUAGGUAAUCCAAACAUUACCUUGGCCUGAUCAAAAAGUUAAAUGUAUUUAGAGUAGAAGAUUUUAAAAAAACUAUAUCAUUAUAAAUCUUAUUACAAAAUUAAUAUUGACAACUCUGUUGAACUGUAUAUGGAUAUUCAACUCUGUUUUCCUUAAUAAUUUUGGUGCGCUUGAUUAAAGAAAAAAUAAGCCAAGGUACAUAAGCUAGGACUACAAUCCAUGUGGAAAGUCGGUUGAUAGUAACAAACCGAAUUCUGAAACAAUAGUGCAUUAUCAUGACAAUUACCUCCUAGUCAAACUUACUUAAUACAAAUCAUCAAAUUUUAAUUCACUUAACUACGAGUGUAAAUUAUCUGAAAUGCCAUAGAUUUUAAGUAGAAAUUGACAUCUCUCAUUUGGUUACACUUAUGAAUGUUUAAUAAUUUAGUUAUUAUCCUCUAAUAUGCAGUCACAGUGUCAAUUAUUAUUAUAUUAGAAAAAAAUCUUUG